AGCGUGGAGAUGUUCCGAAAUGAUAAAGCGAAUGUGUCCCGAAAGUAAACUAUGUCGUGUGGACGACUUAACCAACGUAUUUGGGCACACAAUUGUACUUUGUAAAAAUUGUAUAAAAAAAAUAUUGUGUUCUUGAAUGUGUCCAAUUUAACAGCGAAUUUAUUAUUAUUAUGUAACAUACUAAGAACCUAACUACAUUUUUUGGGCACCAACCACCACCGCCCCCCCCCCCCCCAGUCAAAAAUUUCCCCGUACGCCUAUGUGGACGACUGCACCAACGAGUGUGGACGACUUCACCAGAUUUUUCGUGUGGACGACUUUGCUCGUGGACGACUUAACUGAUAUUCCUCUUGCCAUGCCUUCGAACCUGCACCUGCUUCUUUUUUUUCUUUUGAACAUACAAUUAUUUCGAAUUGGUAUAUCAGAUGGUUGGAGAUGUUGUUGAUAUAGGGAUGCAUUCUGUUGGACCAUAUGAUCCAGAGAUAGUGUUGGACAUUUAUAUAAAUUAUGCCAAACUUUUUCAAAAUUUAUAUGAGGAAAUGAGUCAUUUGAUGGUUUACGAACACCAACAUGGAGGAAUUCGGUUUUAUCUAAAUUUAGUUGAGAACUAGAUACGGAGCCAAAAUUUAUACGAAAAUGGGUACAGAAAAUCUGCAGACGCCUGCAAGAAUCGCAUAAAGAAUAUGAAGCAUUCUUAUAAAAAAAAUAAAGGACCACAACAAUAAAAGUGGGAGUGGCAAGAAAACUAGCAAGUUUUUUGACGCUAUGGAUAAAAUAUUAGGAACCAGACCCGCUACCCGUCCAACACAUAUUCUGGAGACAAGUAUUAAUUCAGAAACACAAGAUUUGGAUGAUUUUGAUGAUGAUGAUAAUGAUGAGGAACCAACAAGAGUCAAUUUGGAAUAUGAAGAAAAUGAGCCUACAGAAACCGUCCUCCGUAAACAGCCAGAAAAAAAAGGACCAGAAAAGAAAAAAAGAAACAGAGAGGAUAUAAUUCAACGUGUUCUGAAUGAGACAACAACCAGCUUUAUAAAUUAUCAAAGAGAACAAGAAAGAUCAUAUUUUGAAUUCGAAGAAAAAAGAAUGAGAAUGGAGGCAGAUUCAGAGAGACUUAGAAAAGAGCAGAGACGGGAGGAUCGACUUAGAGCUGAGGAACAACGACGCGAGGAUAGGGAAAGAGAUAGGCAACAUGAAUUAAAAUUAUGGAGUUUGUUUGCCAAUCAGGGAUUUCAGCAGCAUCAAUUUUCUCAACAACAAAAUGGACAUGUUCCGCAGCCACAAUUUUUACAAGGAGCUAAUGGACACACAUAUACAAAUUUAUAAAACCAUAUUAUUUUCAAGACCUAUCAUUUUGUGCCAAAAGUUCUGCUAUGUAGAGCAUUUAUUUUCAUUGAUAACAGUUAAUUUUUGUUUGUAGAAAUACAUAGUUUUAUUUAUCAUUCCAUUGUGCCAAGGCUAGAGUUUUAAUAAAUUAAUUUCCAUGUUUUAAUUAUUAAUAUCCAUAUCAUUUAACUUAAUGUAUCAUGAAGCUGAAUCAUAUUAUUUUCAAGAUAUACCAUUUUGUGCCAAAAUAUCUGACAUGUAGCGCAAUUAUUGUCAUUGAUAACAGUUUAUUUUUGUUUCUACAAAUACAUGAAUUUUAUUUGUCAUUCCAUUUUACCAUGGCUCAAGUUUUAAUAAAUUUAUUUCCAUGUUUUAAUUAUUAAUAUCCAUAUCAUUAUCAAAUGUGUCAUGAAGCUGAUAUAUGUACUUGGUUGUGAAAGUUAACUGUAGUUGUAACACGUUUUAUGUGAUUUCAGUUUUUAUGAAUUUAAAUUACCAGUAUGAGAUUAAUUGUUUCAAUGGCAUUUAGCAAUUGAACUGGGAAUACACAGGACAAUCCUUGUUUAUAUCUAAAGCAAAGUUUUGACUUGGCUUCUUAUCGUUAUCAAAUAAUGCGAAACGGUAUGAGGUGGGUGUUUUCUUCUUUGUAAGUCAAUUGAUAAGCCCCUAAUAAGAACAAAACAGUCUGUUAUGUUUUCAAAAAUGGUAAAUUCUCUUUUAUUUAAUACAUUAAUUGAAAGACAUAAAUUAAAAAUUGAUCAAUAACUUUAUAGUGUAGGCUUGUACAGUGGACUCGGAAUAUUCCGAAUUAUUAGACCAAUCUGGGGACCCCCGUUAAACGAUUUCUGUUGAAUUAACAUUGGAUAAUCCGGCCUUCAAUCAGUGGGUGUUAACAGACAAGCAAUCAAUUAUCGGUGAGCUUAAAGUAUGUGUCAGUCUUUGUUAAUAAAACCUUGAUAAUUUUAUAAUUUCUUGUAAGAGAGUGCUUGGUAUUUCAUUUGAUUUUUUCACGUCAAAUACAGCAACAUUAAAUAUAAAUUGCUGAGAUGAAGAAUCACUAUCAUAAUAAUAUUUUGUUCAUAACGACGCACAAGUGUUUUGUACGCACCCAAAGUAAAAACAUAAUAAUUUUAUAUAAUAAAGUUUCAAAUGUACAGAAAGGUUUAUCAUAUUUUUAAGUUCUGGGUAUUCGAAGGUGGAUUAAAAUAAUACUUUGGUAUUCGAGGUACAAUAAUACUUGCGGUUUUGAGACAAUUAAGUAUUCCGUCAUGGUGUAUAAUCCGGCAUUGUAUCGGUCCUGUACAAUGUUGAAAGUGAAAGAGUCCACUGUAUAUUUUUAAUUACAUACACUUCUUCAAUGAUGGACAACAAAGAUGACAAUUGGACCUCUUAUUAUAUAAUCCAACUCUGGCUUAAUGAGAUGCAUGGAUCAAAAAUCAAGAUGCCAAAAGGUGUCAAUUUAAAUUCUGUAUCCAAAUACCUUUAAAUUAGUAUUUGGAAUAUUUAAAUUUGAAUGUACCAUAAUAUUACUUUUAAGAAAGAAGAUAUUGAAAAUUUUGGAAACAAAUUGAACUCCAUAGCAACCAUUUGGCCAGAGCUGAUCACAUAUAUAGUUAUAAUAGACCCACUGUGUUAUAAGAUUAUCAGUUAUUUUUCUGUUGUAUGAUUUUUAUUAUGAAAAUAAACCAAUUUAGUUUGA